rnacentral:rRNA from 1 species
AUUGAACGCUGGCGGCAGGCUUAACACAUGCAAGUCGAGCGGAGUGAUGGUGCUUGCACUAUCACUUAGCGGCGGACGGGUGAGUAAUGCUUAGGAAUCUGCCAUUUAGUGGGGGACAACAUUCCGAAAGGAAUGCUAAUACCGCAUACGUCCUACGGGAGAAAGCAGGGGAUCUUCGGACCUUGCGCUAAAUGAUGAGCCUAAGUCGGAUUAGCUAGUUGGUGGGGUAAAGGCCUACCAAGGCGACGAUCUGUAGCGGGUCUGAGAGGAUGGUCCGCCACACUGGGACUGAGACACGGCCCAGACUCCUACGGGAGGCAGCAGUGGGGAAUAUUGGACAAUGGGCGGAAGCCUGAUCCAGCCAUGCCGCGUGUGUGAAGAAGGCCUUUUGGUUGUAAAGCACUUUAAGCGAGGAGGAGGCUCUCCUAGUUAAUACCUAGGAAGAGUGGACGUUACUCGCAGAAUAAGCACCGGCUAACUCUGUGCCAGCCGCCGCAGUAAUAC